rnacentral:rRNA from 1 species
CAGUGUCUGGUGGGUAGUUUGACUGGGGCGGUCUCCUCCUAAAGAGUAACGGAGGAGCACGAAGGUUGGCUAAUCCUGGUCGGACAUCAGGAGGUUAGUGCAAUGGCAUAAGCCAGCUUGACUGCGAGCGUGACGGCGCGAGCAGGUGCGAAAGCAGGUCAUAGUGAUCCGGUGGUUCUGAAUGGAAGGGCCAUCGCUCAACGGAUAAAAGGUACUCCGGGGAUAACAGGCUGAUACCGCCCAAGAGUUCAUAUCGACGGCGGUGUUUGGCACCUCGAUGUCGGCUCAUCACAUCCUGGGGCUGAAGUAGGUCCCAAGGGUAUGGCUGUUCGCCAUUUAAAGUGGUACGCGAGCUGGGUUUAGAACGUCGUGAGACAGUUCGGUCCCUAUCUGCCGUGGGCGCUGGAGAACUGAGGGGGGCUGCUCCUAGUACGAGAGGACCGGAGUGGACGCAUCACUGGUGUUCGGGUUGUCAUGCCAAUGGCACUGCCCGGUAGCUAAAUGCGGAAGAGAUAAGUGCUGAAAGCAUCUAAGCACGAAACUUGCCCCGAGAUGAGU